UUCAGUCACCACUGCAGACGAUGGUGUACAUUUGGUAUUUAUCGAACCAUAAGCCUCACCCACAGCACACCAGUACAUCACACGAGUAGCAAGUAAUACAUUCAUUCACUUACGUGGAUGACAGUAGUUGCCUCACUGACGGCAUGAGUGGCUUCACUUGAACCUGAACCGAUGUUUGUGAUCCAGUUGGAGGACCGCGGUCGAAUUGGACCACAAGAUUUGUUCGCCAAUCCUGGUCAAGUUAUUAGAAUUGAAGAACGAUCGAAUCACAAGGCCUGCACCACACCUGCGAGGGAAGGAUGUCCCAAGGCUGCCUCCCAAUGUCACACCUUCUCCAGGCCUGCACCACACCUGCGAGGGAAGGAUGUCCCAAGGCUGCCUCCCAAUGUCACCUUUUCCUGUCUCCGUCGCUCCAUCUUAGCAUACCUCACUUGCUCAUCCAGCUGCUGCCUGCAAGGUGGAGAAUGUUUACACCUGGAAACGUUGCAAUAAAUGAAGAAGGAAG